UCUAUCUUAAAAUCAUGGAUCACACCAACUAACUAAGUCCACGCAAGAAUUAGAUUUACAACCUUAAUUGUACCAUGUCAAACCAAAAAUCAAUAGAAAUAAUUGAAGAUAGCUGCUGCCAACCUAAGCAAAUCAAGGUUUCUCGAUCAAAAUCCAUAUUAUAAACACUAGUUAACUCAUUUACCAAUAAAACUUAACUUAUCAUGUCAAAUGCCUCAUAUCAAAGCAGAAAUUUUAAGCAAAUAGCUAGUUUGGCUGCUACCAUAUCACAAUCCUUCUAAUUUCUUUCAUAGGAUCUACAAUAAACACCCUAACUUACACAUUUCCUUGAAAAAUGCAGUUAUAGUGUCAAUUAAUAGUCAAAAAUCAGAUUUUCCCAACUUUUAGUCGUGUGAAUAGUGUUUUAGGAACCUAGCAUUUCUCAUUCAUGAUUCUACCAACCCUUUCCUCAAAUGAACUAUUGAAUAAGUUAAAUAAUUGAAGGAAAAGGGAUCAUAUAGA
rnacentral:lncRNA from 1 species